ensembl:lncRNA
CUGGAGCAUUAGCUCUCCCCUUCCAGUUUGAUGUCAUCCCAAAAUGUGAUAAGUACACCACAGCUCGUGGUCUUUGCCUUGUGGGAUUUGCAGUCAAAGGACAGGAGUUCAAAUCCUCGCUCUCCUCCUCUGAACGACCUUGAGCACUUCACCUCUCUGGGAUUUCAUUUCCCUCCUUCUUUUUUCUUUUUUUUCUUUCUUUCUUUCUUUCUUUCUUUCUUUCUUUCUUUCUUUCUUUCUUUCUUUCUUUCUUUCUUUCUUUCUUUCUUUCUUUCUUUCUUUCUUUCUUUCUUUCUUUCUUUCUUUCUUUCUUUCUUUCUUUCUUUCUUUCUUUCUUUCUUUCUUUCUCUCUUUCUCUCUUUCUUUCUUUCUCUCUUUCUCUCUUUCUCUCUUUCUCUCUUUCUCUCUUUCUCUUUUUCUUUCUCUCUUUCUCUCUUUCUUUCUCUCUUUCUUUCUCUCUUUCUCUCUUUCUCUCUUUCUCUCUUUCUUUCUCUCUCUCUUUCUUACUUUCUUUCUUUCUUUCUUUCUUUCUCUCUCUCUUUCUUUCUUUCUUUCUUUCUUUCUUUCUUUCUUUCUUUCUUUCUUUCUUUCUUUCUUUCUUUCCUUCUUUCUUUCUUUCUUUCUUUCUUUCUUUCUUUCUUUCUUUCUUUCUUUCUUUCUUUCUUUCUUUCUUUCUUUCUUUCUUUCUUUCUUUCUUUCUUUCUUUCUUUCCUUCCUUCCUUCCUUCCUUUCCUUCCUUCCUUCCUUCCUUCCUCCCUCCCUCCUCCCUCCCUCCCUCCCUACCUCCCUCCCUCCCUCCCUUCCUUCCUUCCUUCCUCCUUCUUUCCUUCCUCCCUCCCUUCCUUCCUUUCCUCCCUUCCUUCCUUCCCUCUCUUCCUACAUUCCAUCCUUCCAUAUAUAAGUAUCAGUUAUAAGACAGAAGAACACUAAGAUAUAAACAAUGGGAGUUAAGUGACUUGCCCAGGGUUACACAGCUAGGAAGUGCCUGAAGCCAUUGAACUCAGAAGGAUUCAUCUUCCUAUCCAAGGCUCUAACCACUGCCCCACCUAGCUGCUCAAUGAAAGGAAAAUUAGGGAAUACUCCUUAUCUUAUAGGUUUACAGUGAAGAUGGUGUUUGGUCAACCUUCAGGUUCUAUAGAAAUGUGAGUUCUCAUCAUCAUCAUCAUUCACUCUUCUAACUCUAUGGUCCUAGCAUGUAUAAUAGUUAUUUUUAUAUCUGUCAUGUCCCAUAAGUAGACUGCCAGGGGCAGCAUCACAUCUGAAAGUCAUUUCUCCCCACAGGGCCCUAGCAGGCAUUUAAUAAGUGUUUGUGGAGUGGAUUUGACCCGGAAUCUGCUGAGCCUCUCACAUGUCCCACUAUUCCUUUUGUUCUUCCCCUUCUGAUCUUUCUUCCCUGGCCAUCAGAAAGGAUACACAUAGCCAACAACCGCUGAUAACACAAAUCGAAAAUGUAUUUCCUGGCUUUUGAACUGAGUUGAAGAGUUUUCUUGACUGAUGUAAUGCUUGGCAGACCUCCUCUUCCUCUCUCAGGGUCCUGUGACACACUCACACUAACUGUUAAAAAGCCACGGUCUUUUGGUCUUUGCAGUGCAGAAGGGCAGGCAAGCCUAUCCCCAGCCCUGCUGUGAGAGAGGUGGCCCCGGUCAUGUGUCAGACACACGAGCAAGCCUGGUCACCCAGAUAGAGAGGGAGCUUUGGCACUUUUGUCCCUUGUUUUUAUCAUUCAAAGGGCUUAGUCCUGGCUGGAGAGCUGGGUGCCGAGUGGCCACGUGUUGGAUCGAAGGGCCAAGAAUCCUUCUGGGACAUCAUCCAAUUAGGAAAUCCAGUUUUUUUAAAGAUUUUUUUGUUUUAAACUUAAUAAUCAUUAGCAAAACAAUCAAAUCAUCAUCCAGAUUAAGCACUAAACCCUUUUUAUCUGAUCCUUUUUCAU